rnacentral:rRNA from 1 species
CACGUAGGAGGCGAGCGUUGUCCGGAAUCAUUGGGCGUAAAGAGCGCGCAGGCGGCUUGGCAAGUCGGGUGUGAAAUCCCGGGGCUCAACCCCGGGACUGCAUUCGAUACUGUCAGGCUAGAGGUAGGUAGGGGAGAUCGGAAUUCCUGGUGUAGCGGUGAAAUGCGUAGAUAUCGGGAGGAACACCAGUGGCGAAGGCGGUUCUCUGGGCCUUACCUGACGCUGAGACGCGAAAGCGUGGGGAGCGAACCGG